UUAAUUACAUCACCGUAGUGGACUCUGUGCAUGUGGAAAACUUGAACCCACAGAAACAACUCAUUAAUCUUCACAAGCUCUUCUAAGUGAGGAGAAUUAUUCUGUGUGGGUGCGUUCACAACAAGCCUUCAAGAGGUUGAGCAGAAAAGAGGAAAUAUGCUGAACAUUUUAGGAUGUGGCAAAGCCCUGACUCUCAGAUCUCAGAAGAAGCUGCUGGCAGUAGGAGUCUCCAGACUUCCGCCAGCAUCUAUGAAAGUGUGGCAGGCCUACUUAAUAGCUGACAGAGAGAUGGAGCACAAGUGGGGAGGGUCAGAGAGAGAGGAAGACACAGAAUCCGAAGCAGGCUGCAGGCUCCGAGCUGUAAGCACAAAGACCAACAUAGGACCCGAACUCACAAACCGCAAGAUCAUGACCUGAGCUGAAGUUGGACGCCUAACCAACUGAGCCACCCAGGCGCCCCAAGAAUUAAUCAAUUUUAAUUUUAAUACAAUAAAUAGUGAUAAAUUUAAUCCACAUAAGCAAAAA